GACGUAGGGGGCUAGCGUUGUCCGGAAUUACUGGGCGUAAAGGGCGUGUAGGCGGCUUUGCAAGUCAGUGGUGAAACACCUGGGCUCAACCGAGGUAUUGCCAUUGAAACUGCAUGGCUUGAGGGUAGAAGAGGAGUGUGGAAUUCCCGGUGUAGCGGUGAAAUGCGUAGAGAUCGGGAGGAACACCAGUGGCGAAGGCGGCACUCUGGUCUACCCCUGACGCUGAGGCGCGAAAGCUAGGGGAG
rnacentral:rRNA from 1 species